AUAAAUUUUGUGUCACUAAUCCUCCGUUUGGUUCGGGGUUAAGAAAAAAGUAGCUAUUACAGGGAUAGGGUUAAGUUCAGGGUUAAAGUGGGGUUAAAGUUUUUUUGUGUUUGGUUGGGGGUUGGAGUUAGUCUAGAAUAUUGAAAAAUAGUGUUUGAUUGUAGUAGGUAGGAUAAGAAGAUAAUGAUUGAUAAAGAAGGAUAAUGAUUGGUUGGAGUAGGUGGGAUAAGAAGGAUAAUGAUUAAUAAAGAAAGUAAAAUUACUAAAAUAGCCUCACUGUAAUCAUUUGAAAUAAAUA
rnacentral:lncRNA from 1 species